rnacentral:rRNA from 1 species
UGCGUAGGGUGCAAGCGUUGUCCGGAAUUAUUGGGCGUAAAGAGCUCGUAGGCGGUUUGUCGCGUCUGCUGUGAAAACUCGGGGCUCAACUCCGAGCUUGCGGUGGGUACGGGCAGACUAGAGUGCGGUAGGGGAGACUGGAAUUCCUGGUGUAGCGGUGGAAUGCGCAGAUAUCAGGAGGAACACCGGUGGCGAAGGCGGGUCUCUGGGCCGUAACUGACGCUGAGGAGCGAAAGCAUGGGGAGCGAACAGG